rnacentral:rRNA from 2 species
UGGGGAAUAUUGCACAAUGGGCGCAAGCCUGAUGCAGCGACGCCGCGUGAGGGAUGACGGCCUUCGGGUUGUAAACCUCUUUCAGCAGGGAAGAAGCGCAAGUGACGGUACCUGCAGAAGAAGCGCCGGCUAACUACGUGCCAGCAGCCGCGGUAAUACGUAGGGCGCAAGCGUUGUCCGGAAUUAUUGGGCGUAAAGAGCUCGUAGGCGGUUUGUCGCGUCUGCUGUGAAAACCUAAGGCUCAACCUUGGGCUUGCAGUGGGUACGGGCAGACUAGAGUGCGGUAGGGGUGACUGGAAUUCCUGGUGUAGCGGUGGAAUGCGCAGAUAUCAGGAGGAACACCGAUGGCGAAGGCAGGUCACUGGGCCGCAACUGACGCUGAGGAGCGAAAGCAUGGGGAGCGAACA